CUCCACCCCGUCCGGUCUCUGCCACCCCACCCUCCUCCCGGACUCUCAUUGGAAGUAAACCCAGCGAUGAGACAGCGUGGUGAAUGAAGGUGGGGAGAAGGGGAGCCAUGUGGUACUGGGAACAGGAAAACAGCUGGGAGAGCAAAGCCUCUCCCCUCCAUCCAUCACCUCUCCCUUCCUCUCUGCUUCUGGCCUCCCACUGACGCAUAGCUCGACCCACUCCCUUGGCCUCGAGCCAGUGAACAUUUUCCUAACUCCCUACAAGGCAUCAGCUGACCAGAAGGAAGAAGGCUUCUUGAAGGAGAAACUUGUUGCUACCAGAUCAUCCUGUAGCUGAUCAACUAAAGAAAGCCCAACUCAUGCUGUGGCAGGGCAGUACAUUUGGAACUUAGUACAGGUCAUAAGUGAAAAUGAAAUAUCUGUAUAGCAGUCCCACGAAGAGCUUCUACCUUCUAGGAGAGUAUUAUGAGUUUAAUGGGCUUCUUUAGAUGUUUUACAUUUUUCUACAUGUGUUAAUGCAUGUCAGGGAGUCUUUUGAAUCUUAACAAUUUUUUUUGGUGGAGGAAAUGAACCACUGUCCUACAUCUGUUAUUUGUAUUGUCCAUUGAGAGCGUUUUCUAAAAGGGACCCUAGCAUUCACAUUUUGGUGAGACCUUAGAUAUGAACAUUGAGUAAACUUUGUUAUAUAAUUUCCCUGUAGAAUUAUUUGAGGUAGGAGCAAUGAGCCAAAGAGAAAAAGAAACCUGACCUCCCUCUUUGGGAUUAGCCUCCCAAAGGACGAAUCCAUGACCAUGUGAGUUCAAAAUAGAUCUCUUGUAGGAAUAGGUCCUUUGGGACAUGGGGGUCAUAGAAAUAAGGUCAUUAAGAAAGUUCUUUGAAUUAUAAUCUUAUGUAUAUAAAUACCAACUGUUCUUCUUGGCCUAGCAGCUGAGGAGUCAGUCUGCAGAGUGGAACAGACCCUGGGAGCUUAGCAGGGCAACCUGCCCAGCAAAGAUGGCACACGCAAGAUGAACAACAUGAGGUCUCUACAAAGAAAGAAGGACUUUUAGGCCAAUAACUUUUAGUAACAGAAUUUGCCACACAUGUAUCCUUACAUGUGCCUCACUACCACUCUUCUCACAGAUGCUGUAUGUAUUUUUGUGGGAAAGUAUGCCUCAGGUUUAUGGAAACAUUUUAUAGAUGCUGCUUGUAUUAUGCCUUUUUAGUAAAUGUCUUUGCUAAUAGUUAUGUCUUUUGGCUGAUUGUUAAUGAUAAGUACACUACAAUUAUUGUAUAUAAAUAUAAUGGCAUAUUAUUUGUACCAUAAGGAAUGACAAAAGAAAUAGAUUCAGAGAAACCUCAGAAAAUAUGUAUGAAAUAAUGCAGAGUAAAGUGAG